GUACUCGCUUCGGCAGCAUAUAUAGUAAAAUUGGAACGAUACAGAGAAAAGGAGCGUGGCCCCUGUGCAAGGAGGACACGCAAAUUCAUGAAGCGUUCCGUAUUUUA